AGAUUGAACGCUGGCGGAAUGCUUUACACAUGCAAGUCGAACGGCAGCACGGGGGCAACCCUGGUGGCGAGUGGCGAACGGGUGAGUAAUGUAUCGGAACGUGCCCAGUCGUGGGGGAUAACUAUCCGAAAGGAUAGCUAAUACCGCAUACGUCCUGAGGGAGAAAGCGGGGGACCUGCAAAGGCCUCGCGCGAUUGGAGCGGCCGAUAUCGGAUUAGCUAGUUGGUGGGGUAAAGGCUCACCAAGGCGACGAUCCGUAGCGGGUCUGAGAGGACGACCCGCCACACUGGAACUGAGACACGGUCCAGACUCCUACGGGAGGCAGCAGUGGGAAUUUGGACAAUGGGGGCAACCCUGAUCCAGCCAUUCCGCGUGAGUGAAGAAGGCCUUCGGUUGUAAAGCUCUUCAGCGGAACGAAACGGUCGAGUCCUAAUAAGGUCGACUAAUGACGUAC
rnacentral:rRNA from 1 species